rnacentral:rRNA from 1 species
CGGAGGGGGCUAGCGUUGUUCGGAAUGACUGGGCGUAAAGGGCGCGUAGGCGGUUUUUUAAGUGAGGCGUGAAAGCCCUGGGCUUAACCCAGGAAUUGCGUUUCAGACUGGAAAACUUGAGUGCGAGAGAGGUAAGUGGAAUUCCUAGUGUAGAGGUGAAAUUCGUAGAUAUUAGGAAGAACACCAGUGGCGAAGGCGGCUUACUGGCUCGUAACUGACGCUGAGGCGCGAAAGCGUGGGGAGCAAACAGGAUUAGAUACCCUGGUAGUCCACGCUGUAAACGAUGUGUGCUAGACGUUGGAGGGGAACCUUCAGUGUCGCAGCUAACGCAUUAAGCACACCGCCUGGGGAGUACGGUCGCAAGAUUA